GCAAACCACAGGAUGGCUUUGGCUGUGACCAAGUGAGAGCUGGGAAAAGUCCAGCUCCUCAAUUUUGCUUUUCCUCCCUGGCAUUUUUAGAUCAAUUCCAGGAAAAGCCCAUACAAGUAUUCUUUGUUAUGCAUAGAAGAGAGGCAUGUCUUGGGACUCUAAAAGGGCUAGCAAAGGAGAUGUUUAACAAGGAUUAGUUCAGCAUUCAGAAAAAAAACAAUCUUGUCAUUCCUUUUCUGUGGCUAAGCUCUGUCCACCUAAAGUGCAACAGCUGACCAUCUUUCUACUUCCUAUUGAGAGAACAGAUGCAACUAUAAACACAGUGCUUGCUCUAAAAGUUCUAGCACCUAAUCCACUGAAUGGUCUGCAUCGCCUUCUCAUUGGAGGCUGAGAACGGCUGACUGGGUAGGAAAAACUGACCUGAAAAGCUAUGUUCAGCACUAGUUCACAUAAGUGGGUUAAGAUCAUAACAUACCUAAAAGAAAAGAGCAGCCUUUAUUAGGAGUUAUAGAACUCCAGCUAUGUCUACACGUUAGUAAAAGACUCACAGCACAUCUGUGGCUGGCCCACAGGUCAGCUGAGUCGGGCUUGCAGGGCCCAGGCUGUGGGGCUAAAAAUUGCAGUGUAUUUGUAUCCUGAGACUACUUAACCUAUUGCUGAACUCUGGGACAGAUUCACUGAAGCAUAAUUGCUCUUAAUGCAAAAUGGUUACACUUGCAAAGAUGAGAGCAUCGCUCCUGGGCUUUUUUACUUUAAUAUAUUUUAAGCCCUUAUAGUAUUUUUCUCCUGUGUAAGACCAAACAAAACUUUUCCAGUUUUAGAGUAAAAAUAGCCCCCUUGUUUUACUUCCUUGUCCUGUCAGGCUCUCUCUGAGCAGAGUAGUUUCCGUCCUUGUCUUUUUGAUCUGGCAGUUUCUGUUCGCAUCUCUCAAUCUUACUGUUAGGCCAGUCUGCAAGCUUCUUUGGAUUCUCUGGAAUUCAGAAGGCUACUCAUGGUCCAAGAUCACAACUAGGACCCAGUUGUGACACAGGUAGUUGUGUUAUUUCCACCUUUUUGUUUUUUAAAUGGAUUAAAUCUAUACAGUGACUCAGAGUUGUGUUAGGCCUGGUCUACACUUGGGGGGGGGGGGGGAAUCGAUCUAAGAUACGCAACUUCAGCUACGAGAAUAGCGUAGCUGAAGUUGACGUAUCUUAGAUCAACUUUCUUCAUGGCGCAGGAUUGAUGGCCACGGCUCCCCCUUUGACUCCGUUUCCGCCUCUCGCCCUGGUGGAGUUCCAGAGUUGAUGGGGAGCGCAUUCGGUGAUUGAUUUAUUGCGUCUAGACAAGUCGUGAUAAAUCGAUCCCUGAUAGAUCGAUCGCUACCUGCUGAUCCGGCAGGUAGUCUGGAUGUACCCCUAUAUGUUUGACACAGAUCUCUUCAGUGGAAUCCAGAAUUGACAAUGCAAUUCUGGACACUUUGGUUUAUCUGAUAGUUGACUGCAUCUGAGCAGGACAAUUUUUAAAGUGUGCUACUUAGGAUAUUUAAAAAUUUUGCUAAAUAAAAGAAUAUUACCAAAAAUGUAUAGAUAGUACAAUAGUAUACAAAUAUAAUUUCAUUUAGAUAAUGCUAUCAGGCAGAGCCUGUUGGCAGCAAUGUUCUACGGGACAUCAUUAGCAUACUUUAUGACUCGCAUCAUCCUGAACUAGGAUGUCUGGAGCUGUUAUGAAUUAGUAUGAAAUCUGCUGUUUAAUAAAUGCUUUAUACUGCUUGUUUAGCAAUAUUCAGCAUCAGACUGUAAAGUUUCUCAUUAUGUGAGUCACCUGUAAGAUCAUAUUCCUCCAGAUGUCUUGAAUGAACAUUUCUGUUUAGAAAACACCUGCAACUUGUUAAAGCUGCUGCACUCAUUCAUCUGAAAUGUAACCUCAGAACAGUUCCUACCCCUGUGCUUUCUUAGCCAUGCAAUGUCUUUAAUUUUCUUCCUGUUUGUGUUUUUUUAAUUACGUUGUGUCCCUACAGCCCAAAGCAUGUAAAUUAAUUUAAAUUAAUUGGAGUUAAGAAUCUGGCUUUAAAUUCUAUCUAAACAGAGUUCUUAUUAAAUCUGUUUCCAACUGCUUGACCAGCCAGUGUGGACAAACUGGUAGAAAUACAGGCUGGCCACAUUAUGUCCAAUAUUGUCCAGCCAAGUGGUGUCAGAAAAGCGUUCUGUUGGCUCCCUUCUUAUGCACUGUUUCCAAACUCUGUUACUAGCCCCUUUGAGAGAAGCCCAUGCUGCAAAGAAAUAUACAGAACAGCUUGGUGUCCAGUGGUACAACUGCAAGGACAGAGUUGUGCAUAAUACAAACUUGAGGGGAGGUUUUUUCUUCAAGUGAUGCAUAAUUAACCUAUCAAAUGCCUGAAGUACUGUAUUAAAGCUUCAUCCUCCUUGUGCCCACUGGAUGGGCAUUCUUGCAAAUCCUGCCCUUUCCUUGUGUUGCCUCUGAUGUGGGACUUGACAGAUGUCUAUUCACUGUGGACACUUCCUGGGCUUUUCAUCGGCAGCCUCCAUUUUACUGAGAGAAGGAGAAAUAUCACUGAAAAUCAUUAGACAAAUACCUGUCAAGUAUAACCUAGGAAUAUUUGGCCCCCAGUGCAGUGGGGUGGACUAGAUGACCUCUCGAGGUCUCUUUCAGACCGGCAUUUCUAUCAUGAAUUAGGAAAUACAUAUGUGCUGCUGGAUCACUUAAUCAACUAAAUAUUGACCUCUUUUGCUGGGACGGGGAAGGCUUCUUCUACAUAUGAUGAAGUCUCCCAUUGAGUUUGUGGGUCCUGUGAUGAGACCAAAGACUGAUUUUGGACCCUGCAGCCUCCUCCACAAGUGCCACAUGUAAAGACAAUUGUAAAUGAAUUAGUGCUAUUUUUAGCUUGUUACAUCUCGCACGUCUCUCCUUGAUUGCAGAAAUCCACAAGCUCUCAAAAUCUUCCAGUCUGAGGUGUGGCAGGGCUGCUGCUGUCAGAUCUUGUCAUGGGGGAAGAGCUCCCAGGUGCUGUGGUCACAUUGUAAGAUUGGAGGUUGGUCUUCAGUGUGUUUUUUUGUAACAUUUUCUUGGUCUGCCCCAAAACAAGUUCCAGUCUGCAGUUUUCUAUAAAAAUGGAAUGUCUGAUGAACUGUAGCAGUUAGAGAUAGAAAAGAUCUAUUGGGUCACCUAGUCAAAUUUUCCUGCCACUGCAGGAUUGUCAGUUGCUUGUGUUGUAGUCUAUUUUGAAAUGUUCCAAGGGGUAGAAUUGCCAUCACUUCCUUUAGAGAAUAUUUCACAGCCUGAUAGAUGUUACUGUUGGGAAGCUUUUCCUGACAUUUGACCUAAAAUGGUUGGGGAGGUGGGGGUUGGAAUCCUUUUACUCCUAUUCCUUAGUUAUUUCAUUCGUUAUCCUCCCUUGAGCACAGAGGACUGGAUUAGAUGACCUAUUGAGGUCUCUUCUAAUCCUACACUUCUAUGAUUCCCCCAUAUAUUAUCUUCAACUUCUCUCCCUUCUUAGCUGCUUGUACCUUUCUCAUUUUUUACUAUUCUAUCCCCCACAAAGCUGUUUCUUAGCCAAUCCAGUACUUGGUUAAUUCUUAAUCUUUUCCAGUAAAUCAGUCCCUCCAGGACCUUUCUGUUAUCUGCAGUUACUUUGAUAAUGAGGUGCGUGGUAUUUAAUUCUAUAUAACAGGUGUGGUCACAUCUGUACUUGUUUUUGUGAAGUGCCUUGCACAUCUGGGUGUUCAAAAAUAGAUACAUACCCAGAGCUAGAGAAAACGCACUCUGUUUUGUGGCAGUAUGUAUGUAUAUGCAGCCCCAAAAUUGUUGGCUGCUGUCGUCUUUUUUUUAUAUUGCAAUUUAGACUUCAGUUUGCAGUGUGCCAUUGCCCUUAAACCAUUUAGUGUCAUUUUCCCCAUAUUGAAUAUGACGUUGAUAAAUUUUACCCAAAUGAUGGUAACAUGUCCAAGUUGCAUCUCAUUUUUUCUAAUCUUUAGGUCCAGGUCCGUUUUUAUUUGCUCACAGAUUUUUGCCACUCCUCCAAAUGUACUAUCCCUUCAAAUUAUACUUGUAAAUUAAUGAAAAUAUUAAAUAAGAGUGGACGUAUAAUCAACCCCUCAUGGAUAGCUCUGUUAGAAUGUUCAGUUGUUACUGGAGGAGAGGAGAGUGACACCGUAUUUUUUGGGCUGCAUUUGGGGGUAAAAAUGCAUAGGUUGAGUACUUAAAACAUUUUAACAUAUUCCUGCUGUGUCGUGUCUUCAGUUUGAACAUGAUUAAGGCUACAUUGUAGUCACAGGUAUUUUUAGUAAAAGUCAUGGACAGGUCACAGGCAAUAAACAAAAAUUCAUGGUCCAUGACUUGUAUUAUAUACCCUUGACUGAAUCUUGGCCGGGGAGGGUGUGGGGGGUGGGAUGGGCAGUAGCCCAGGACCCCCACUAGUGCUAGGGGGGAGGGAUGUUGGUGGGGGCUGCCUGGCUCCACAACUCCCUGGAAAUGGUGACAUUCCCCCUCCCAGUGCUUCUAGGCAGGGGCGUAGCCAGGCAGCUCUCUGUACUGCCUCCACAGCUCCCAUUGGCUGUGAACUGUGGCCAAUGGGAGCUGCAGGGACGGAGCCAGCAUGCAGAGUCCCUUGGCUGUGCCUGUGCCUAGGAGCAGAGGGUGUCACCACUUCCGGGGAGCCCUCCUGAGAUGAGACUAUGCCAAAAAAAAAAAAAAAGACUUGAGAGAAAGGAGAUGGUGCCUUGUGCAACAGUAACUUCUUAUAUCUACAGUGACUUCCAUCUGGAGGCUGUCAAGUCCUUUACGCCUGAGACAUUGAUGAAGAGCUGAGGCCCAGACUGAUGAAGUGACUUGCCCAACAUCACAUAAUGAGCACCUGAUGGACAAGACUUUCUUCCCAAUCAACACAGACCCUAUGCAUCUGUCCAUCAGUUGAAGAAUAUAAUUAAUUCCAUCUCUGCACCAGUACCCACUGGUGGAUCGGAAGAAUCUGUGGACUACUGAUACAGUUGGAGCUGUGCUAACAAUACUUUUGGCUUUGAACUUCCAGAUGCUACUUUUGUGUGGAGUGAACGUGCAGCCUUCAUUCGACUUACUUGAUUAAACAUAAUUUACAUUUCUCUGGAA